rnacentral:rRNA from 1 species
GACGUAGGAGGCGAGCGUUGUCCGGGUUCAUUGGGCGUAAAGCGCGCGUAGGCGGCCCGGUAAGUCGGAUGUGAAAUCUCACGGCUCAACCGUGGAACUGCAUUCGAAACUGUCGGGCUAGAGGCAGGUAGGGGAGAUCGGAAUUCCCGGUGUAGCGGUGAAAUGCGCAGAUAUCGGGAGGAACACCGGUGGCGAAGGCGGAUCUCUGGGCCUGUCCUGACGCUCAGGCGCGAAAGCUAGGGGAGCGAACCGG